GAUGAACGCUGGCGGCGUGCCUAAUACAUGCAAGUCGAGCGAACAGACGAGGAGCUUGCUCCUCUGACGUUAGCGGCGGACGGGUGAGUAACACGUGGAUAACCUACCUAUAAGACUGGGAUAACUUCGGGAAACCGGAGCUAAUACCGGAUAAUAUAUUGAACCGCAUGGUUCAAUAGUGAAAGACGGUUUUGCUGUCACUUAUAGAUGGAUCCGCGCCGCAUUAGCUAGUUGGUAAGGUAACGGCUUACCAAGGCAACGAUGCGUAGCCGACCUGAGCGGGUGAUCGGCCACACUGGAACUGAGACACGGUCCAGACUCCUACGGGAGGCAGCAGUAGGGAAUCUUCCGCAAUGGGCGAAAGCUUGACGGAGCAACGCGGCGUGAGUGAUGAAGGUCUUCGGAUCGUAAAACUCUGUUAUUAGGGAAGAACAAAUGUGUAAGUAACUAUGCACGUCUGGACGGUACCUAAGCAGAAAGCCACGGCUACCUACGU
rnacentral:rRNA from 1 species